UAGAUACCCUAUUAUUAAGAAUAAAAAAUUGUAAGUAAAUAUUAAUUACGAAAGCAAAAAAUUAUGGCGGUAUUUUAAGCUUUUCAGAGGAAUUUGCUCUUUAAUGGAUAAAACACCUAAACCUUACUUAAAUUAGUACCUUUCAGUUUGUAUACCACUAUUAUAAUAAUAAUUUGUUAUUAUUAUUAAUAUUCUUAAAUUAGAAUAAAAUUAAGUCAAGGUGCAGCAUAAAUUUAUGAAUGAAGUGAAUUACAUUUCUUUAAAGAAAAAUGAAAUUGAAAUAAAACAUUUAGGAUUUGAUAGUAAAGUUAAAAUAUUAUGUUAAUUUGAAUAAAGCUCUAAAAUAUGUACAUAUCGCCCGUCACUCUUUUAUAAGAUAAGUC
rnacentral:rRNA from 1 species